UGGGGAAUAUUGGACAAUGGGCGAAAGCCUGAUCCAGCCAUGCCGCGUGUGUGAAGAAGGUCUUCGGAUUGUAAAGCACUUUAAGUUGGGAGGAAGGGCAUUAACCUAAUACGUUAGUGUUUUGACGUUACCGACAGAAUAAGCACCGGCUAACUCUGUGCCAGCAGCCGCGGUAAUACAGAGGGUGCAAGCGUUAAUCGGAAUUACUGGGCGUAAAGCGCGCGUAGGUGGUUUGUUAAGUUGGAUGUGAAAUCCCCGGGCUCAACCUGGGAACUGCAUUCAAAACUGACUGACUAGAGUAUGGUAGAGGGUGGUGGAAUUUCCUG
rnacentral:rRNA from 1 species